rnacentral:rRNA from 1 species
UGGGGAAUAUUGCGCAAUGGACGAAAGUCUGACGCAGCGACGCCGCGUGAGGGAUGAAGGUUUUCGGAUCGUAAACCUCUGUCAGAAGGGAAGAAAGCGCGGGAUGCCAAUCAGUUUCGCGUUGACGGUACCUUCAAAGGAAGCGCCGGCUAACUCCGUGCCAGCAGCCGCGGUAAUACGGAGGGCGCACGCGUUAAUCGGAAUUACUGGGCGUAAAGCGCGCGUAGGCUGUUGUGUAAGUCAGGGGUGAAAGCCCGCGGCUCAACCGCGGAAUUGCCUUUGAUACUGCGCGACUUGAAUCCGGGAGAGGGUGGCGGAAUUCCAGGUGUAGGAGUGAAAUCCGUAGAUAUCUGGAGGAACACCAGUGGCGAAGGCGGCCACCUGGACCGGUAUUGACGCUGAGGUGCGAAAGCGUGGGGAGCAAACAGG